GCCGGGCUGCGGCCCCCAGCGCUCGGCUCCGGAGCGGCGCCCAGGCGGCCGCAACAGGCGCGGCCCCGGCCCCGGCCCCGGCCCCGGCCCCGCCGCCGCUCCGCCCGGGCCCCGGUAGAGGCCGAGCCGGCGGCGCCCCCGCUCCCCCAGCCCCGGCGGGGCCCGCGCGGCUCCGGGCCCGACCCGCGCAGGCCGAGCGGCACCGCCCGCCCCAGCCCGGCCCCAGCCCAGCCCGGCCCGGCCCGGCCCGGCCCGCGCACAAAGAGCCCCGGCCCGCCCCCCCUUACCGGCGGUCGGCGCCGCGCUGCGGGGGCGGCGGCGGGCGGCUCCAGUCACGCCGGGAACCAUGGAAAGGAGCCGGGACGGGAGACAGACCAGAGCGAGACUGUGAACAGCAGCAGCUCAGAGCCUCCACUUCCCUCCCGGCUCUCCAAACCUUCCAGACAUGCUGCGGGAAGAACUCCACACUGCUGAGCACCACGGCCUCCCACAGCACCCUGCCACAGCCAGAGACUGCUCGGGUGCUCGGCCGUGGCUGCGGGAGCCCGAGCACAGCUGUGGGAUGGGCCAGAGCUCUCACAGGACAGCUCUUCGUGCUGGGAGUUGUCCUGAUCCAUCAUUUCAUCUGUGUCUGGGAGAUGAGCAGUCCUGGGUAAAGAUGUGGAAGGCUCUGACAGGGAACACAGAGUAGGAGUGGAAAUACUGGAGGCAAACCUUCGGUUUUCAGCGCCCACUGAACAUGUGCCUCAUCAUUCUCUUCCCCAAGUUAGCGCAGAUCAGACUCUUCAAGGCACAGCGCCUUGCAGUGAGCUUUGGUGGCUGCAAUCUCCUCCUAAUCCAGGCUUGUUUCAGAGAAAACAGGCAAUUUUAUAUCCCUUUGAUAUGGAUCUUAGCUGCUAAUGAUGCUAGGAAGUAAAGAGAAAUGGCAGAGAAAUACACAACUAUGAAGAGUUAAAAUAGUGAAUUUAAUUCAGCCAAUUCCAACAAAAUUGGUAAUUCCCUGAAAAACAAACCUUGCACAGAAAACACAGAACAGAAAUGGUUUCAUCUUGACAGCUGGUGAAAACAACUGGGUGAAAAGGUGAAUGGAAUAUUUCUGACUUCUCUGGAAAACACAAGGUUUCACACAUCCUGAAAAUGCCCUAUUUUUUACUAAAUGGGUCGGUUUGUGAGGCAGUGAUUGUAAAUGCUCUGAACUGCAGAUGCCAAAUGUCUGGUUUUCAGAAAGCACUGAUGCUUCCCUAAAGGAAAAGCUGGGACUUCUAAAAAUCACAGAAACCUGGAACAGUUUGGGCUGGAAGGGAAACUCAAGGCUCAUCCCACUCUAAGCCCCCACCAGAGCAGGGACACAUUGCACUAGACUAGCCCAGAAACCUGAAGAACAACAAGAAAACAUGUAUUAUUCUCAGACUCAUCAGCCUGGCUUGCCCUGCCCAGUGGCCCUGCUCGGGGCUCCAGGCGAUGCAGAGUGCGAUGGGAGGAAGGACAGGAGUGUCGCCAGGCGUGUGGAGGGAGCUGGCUGGACAGCCUGGCCCAGCUCCUCAGCUCUGAAACACUCUUUCCAAAGCAAUACCAAAAAAGGUUUGUUUCUAGGUCAGGACCUCAGCACUCAAUUUUAACCAGGGGCUGACAGUCCAAUCUGAGCACAGCUGUAAAAUGGAUUUGCGGGAGAAGCUUUGGCAUUCCUUUUGUAAUUAGAAAACAGCCACUGAGGCGUGUGCCUUUAAAGGUGAAAGCUAUUUUUGACAUAAAAAUUAGCACGUAGUUCCUCUGUCAUCCCUCGGCUGCUGCGCUGGGAGCUGUGAGUGAACAAUCCAAAGAUAAGCAAGAAGUAUAAACAUGCUGAAUUACACAAAUACGUAGAAGGGGAUCAGGUUUCAUUUGUUUUAUUCUCUGACAGUUAGGAGACAAGGAGAUUUAUUCUUACACUUUUUCUCCUAAAAAGCACUGGUUAAAAGGUCCACUUAAGCACUGAAACCCCAAUGGCAUUAAAAAACUUGAAGAGCUUUUAAUAGCAACCUUUUGAAAUUACUGUUACAUCUAUUUUUGAGAUGGAUAAACUAAGCUACCAAUGAAGCAGGGCAGGAGUUUUUGGAAGGGCCCAGCAGUGAGAAACUGUCAUUCAUUUCUCAAGUCAGCUCCUGCACAGGGACCCUGAGACAAAUACCACAGUGCUCGACGCUUGAACAACCUGAGCGUUCUUUAAAUUCCAAUUUUCUCUCUUUGGUGGGAAUCUAACCCCGACAGCCUUGAAAAUGAACCCCAGGCAGUUUUCAGGAUAGGGCUCAGAGUGGCUGUUUCUAAAAUAAAAGUGAGGGAAGAGCGAGCA
ensembl:lncRNA